ACUCCUACGGGAGGCAGCAGUGGGGAAUAUUGCACAAUGGGGGGAACCCUGAUGCAGCGACGCCGCGUGCGGGAUGAAGGCCUUCGGGUUGUAAACCGCUUUCAGCAGGGGCGAAUUUGACGGUACCUGCAGAAGAAGCGCCGGCUAACUACGUGCCAGCAGCCGCGGUAAUACGUAGGGCGCGAGCGUUGUCCGGAAUUAUUGGGCGUAAAGAGCUCGUAGGCGGCCUGUUGCGUCCGCUGUGAAAUCCCAGGGCUCAACCCUGGGCGUGCAGUGGAUACGGGCAGGCUGGAGGCAGGCAGGGGAGAACGGAAUUCCCGGUGUAGCGGUGAAAUGCGCAGAUAUCGGGAGGAACACCGGUGGCGAAGGCGGUUCUCUGGGCCUGUUCUGACGCUGAGGAGCGAAAGCGUGGGGAGCAAACAGGAUUAGAUACCCUGGUAGUCCACGCCGUAAACGUUGGGCGCUAGGUGUGGGUCCCUUCCACGGGGUCUGUGCCGCAGCUAACGCAUUAAGCGCCCCGCCUGGGGAGUACGGCCGCAAGGCUAAAACUCAAAGAAAUUGACGGGGGCCCGCACAAGCGGCGGAGCAUGUUGCUUAAUUCGACGCAACGCGAAGAACCUUACCAAGGUUUGACAUGGCCGGAAAACUCGCAGAGAUGCGGGGUCCUUCGGGGCCGGUCACAGGUGGUGCAUGGCUGUCGUCAGCUCGUGUCGUGGGAUGUUGGGUUAAGUCCCGCAACGAGCGCAACCCUCGUCCCAUGUUGCCAGCGGGUAAUGCCGGGGACUCAUGGGAGACUGCCGGGGUCAACUCGGA
rnacentral:rRNA from 1 species